AGGUGCUGCAUUGCGUCUUUGAGUUCUGGCCUGGGAAAAGAGUGGAUGUCACAGGGCUGUUCCUCACCCUAGGUGCUGCUGGACUUCACCAACUCUGAAACCACUGCUGUGCAGAAGAGGGUCUGAGGGGCGAUCAGGAAUCUGAGUCAUGGGCUGGCUGACAUUUCCAAAUGGGAGAUGUGAGCUGCUGGCAUCUUCCUAUUGCCAUAACCAUGUAAUGAGACUGAUGCUGGAAAACAAACAUUGUGAGAGGCGUUCCUCAGCACUCCUGUCCCGUGUGUGAUUUGUACAUGGACUCCCGGCUGGCAAUAAAUGAUGCUUCUGAAUGAGGAGGAUUUUUAGACUAGAGGAAUAUAAAAAACAAAAAAGAAGACCAUGGACAGUGCUACUGCUUGAGGCCCAGGCUCUUAAAAGGAGGCAUGGAUCAUCUCCUUCAUCAUCUGUAGCUGGUAUCCUUGUAAGUAAUAAAUAGCAACUCUAUGGGCUCCUGGACAACAAUAUGGGAAACCACCUAUCUAAAACUGAAUGGGAUACCUUUUAUCAUCUUGAGACAAUUUUACAAGAUAAAGGACGUUCAGACAUCUCAAAACAUGAACUAAAAAACUUAUUAAUCUGGGUAAAAGCAAAUACUCAAAAUAUAGACUUGAAGUCAGCUUUUACCUUUGAUUUCUGGGACCGGAUAAACUGGAAAAUUUACAAUCUAGUCUCUCCCAAAAAGGAAAAUACUUUGGUCAAACUAAUGCCUGUCUCCAGAACUUUAAUUGGGAGUUUUAAACAGAAUGAUCAUAAUAGAGACUUUCUCGAACACCAAAACAGAACACCUGGUUCUGAGACCUUCAUUCUGAGUGGUGCUGGGUCUUCGUCCUCCUCUGGGGGGAUCUCGGGUUUUGUUUGGGGUUCCUGCCCUUCUCCUGGCAUGUCCAGGGUUUCCCCAGGCAUUGUGAACAGCAUCCCAAACCCCGGGAAGGGGGAAUCAGAUCAGCUUCCAGAUUCGGUCAUGUCUUCUGUUUCUUCUGGGAUUCCCUGCGUCACUGAUACUGCGACCGGGCAUCCUCCCAUUCCUCUGGGAAACCAUCCACCUCUGGAGUUCCCGGGAAAGGGUUUGGGAUUUUCAUUGUAUUCCGAGAAUUUAGGGG